UGGGGAAUAUUGCACAAUGGGCGCAAGCCUGAUGCAGCCAUGCCGCGUGUAUGAAGAAGGCCUUCGGGGUGUAAAGUACUUUCAGUGGGGAGGAAGGUGGUAAGGUUAAUAACCUUAGCAAUUGACGUUACCGACAGAAGAAGCACCGGCUAACUGCGUGCCAGCAGCCGCGGUAAUACGGAGGGUGCAAGCGUUAAUCGGAAUUACUGGGCGUAAAGCGCACGCAGGCGGUUGAUUGAGUCAGAUGUGAAAUCCCCGGGCUUAACCCGGGAAUUUCAUCUGUUACUGGUCAGCUCGAGUGUUGUCGAGGGGGGUAGAAUUCCAUGUGUAGCGGUGAAAUGCGUAGAGAUGUGGAGGCCUACCGCUGGCGAAGGCGCCCCCCUGGACAAAGACUGACGCUCAGGUGCGAAAGCGUGGGGCGCAAACAGG
rnacentral:rRNA from 1 species